rnacentral:rRNA from 1 species
GAUGAACGCUGGCGGCGUGCCUAACACAUGCAAGUCGAACGAAGCAUUUGAUUGGAAGUUUUCGGAUGGAAGAUGAGAUGACUGAGUGGCGGACGGGUGAGUAACGCGUGGGUAACCUGCCCCAUACAGGGGGAUAACAGUUAGAAAUGACUGCUAAUACCGCAUAAGCGCACGAGGAUGCAUGUUCUUGUGUGAAAAACUGAGGUGGUAUGGGAUGGACCCGCGUCUGAUUAGCUAGUUGGCAGGGUAAAGGCCUACCAAGGCGACGAUCAGUAGCCGGCCUGAGAGGGUGGACGGGCACAUUGGGACGGAGACACGGCCCAAACUCCUACGGGAGGCAGCAGUGGGGAAUAUUGCACAAUGGGGGAAACCCUGAUGCAGCGACGCGGCGUGAGCGAAGAAGUAUUUCGGUAUGUAAAGCUCUAUCAGCAGGGAAGAAAAUGACGGUACCUGACUAAGAAGCUCCGGCUAAAUACGUGCCAGCCGCCGCCGUAAGAC